AUUCUCCAAAAUUGGAGUAUGAUCCAAUUGAGAAUGUUCAUUUCCCCUACCAAGAGAGGGAAAAGACUCUCUUUCAUGUAAUAAAAGCUUCUUAUUUAACACUGGAUCAGAGCAAAGAACAAAUGGAAAGCAAUCUUGACCAUCUUUUGUACUCCACUGGACUACUUUUUUCAGGAAAUUCAGAGAAGAAUUUGCUGAUAUUCCUCCUAAUAUACCAACAGUAUUUGCUUGACUAACCAACGAAUCAGAAGAGCCACUGCCAUUCUCAUCUGUGUGCAAGACAGUUGAUGAUGAGGGUAUGGCUAGAACUGGCUUCAACCUUGCCUUACGUGUUUUAUGAGAAUUUACAUGACUGAAUGCAUAAGAUGGGUAAUUCAACGCGUAGAACAUCUCAUAAACCAAAAAAAAGAAAAUAAAGCAGCGAACAAGCUUGAAAGAAUUUCUCAAUCAACGCCCAGGAAUCACAAGCCACUUCUAAAUUCUGCCAUACUAGCUUCUGGAAAUUUUUGCAACUAAAGAAUUUUGACAAAAUUUCUAUUCUUCCCUCAGAAAUCACACAUCCAAACAAACUUCUCUCUCAAUUUUUUUUCCUUCCAAAGGAAAAUCCCUGCCCCCAAAAGAGGUAAUAAUCACAAAUUACCAAUCCUCCUUAGCCCUUAAACAGUUAAAACCCCAAUAUUUAGUUGGGUUUCCAAAUUAACUGCAUGUUAGCAGUAACCCACUUCCAGAACAGCAAAACCCUUCAUUGGGUUGCCAAAAAGAAUACCAAGGAAGUUACAGCAAAGCAAUCUACAGAUACUCCCCCCAUAUUUGAGAAAAAAUGUCAAAACCAAACUGCAAACCCAAAAAUUUUCUCCACGUUUCUAUAAUUGAAGCCACAAACAAUAAGAACCCAACUUGAAUAUCGAAAUGAACAAAAGGCAAGUGGGACUGGCGAGAGCGAGUAAAGAAAACAGACCUCCAAGGUUUUAGGUUUCUUUUUUCUUUUAUUUUAUGAUUACCAACCAAACAAAGAUGGACCCAACAGUCAUGGCAAUUGGCAAGUGGGGAGGAAUAUACCAUAAUAUACUAUAAACUGACUCUGGUUAAAACAAGAAAUCACUGAAACAGAAGACAAAAACACUGAAAUGAAAAACACGUGUUCUUGCCAGUCGAUUACCUUAUCCAGAAUCGGCAACUAGUUUGGAAAAUUGAGCACUUGGGUACGCUUAAUCUGCCAUAGAAUGAAUUUCUAGUUCAUCCUCGCAUCAAUUAGCUAGGGCAGGUUACUAAA
rnacentral:misc_RNA from 1 species